ACGUGUAUUUUUUGCUUUUUAUUUUUCAUAUAUUUAUAUUUCUUGCUGUUUUCUAAUCAGUCCACGGAGCCAGAAUCAGUUUUUCCUGCUUUAAUAAAACAUCAGGAUUCACAUCGUGUAUAAAAAGAAAUCAUAAAAAUGACACGAUUACAAUCAAAAAAGUUUUUUUGUUGUUUUUGCUCAUAAGCAGAAUAUAAAUAGAAAAACAUCUAAAUCUUGGACGUCUGACGUCGGAUAAAUGGGUCCAGAAUACAUGUGACUGUAAAGACCAGGAAGAGCCGAGUAUAGAGAAAAUACAGAUUAAACUGAUUUAUGUCAUCAAACCUCUUGAUCAAUACUGCAAGGUUCCCUCAGAGAGGAGCGGGCAUGGCUUCUGCUUCCAAACAGCUGAACACAGACGGAGGGAGGAUCUAAACUGGUGGGGACAGGUGAGAUAGAUGGGGACAGGUGUGACAAGUAAGGACAGGUGAGAUAGACGGGGACAGGUGUAACGGGUAAGGACAGGUGAGUGGUGGCGAACACUGACGUUCAGAUUCAGAGACUAGAACUCUGACCAUCAACCAGAUUCUUCGUUUUCUUUCUGCAGAACCUGGUUGAACGUUAACGAGUUUUAAAGUUCUUCUUCUGAACGUCCGACGUUUCCGUCAAACUGCAGCUGCUGACGGAGGAUUCGGCUAAAUUUGUUUUCCGGAUGGUGAAGACCAACCAGCACAGAAACAGGCUGAAGCUGCAGCUCAGUGACCUGGUGCUGGUUCUGUAGGUUCACACUGAUGGCAACACGGUCCAUCGUCAGUUCAUCAGGAACACUGCUCGGUGGUGGACAUCGGAUCAGAACCAUUCAAAGGCUGAAAUGUUCUGUUCAUGAGAUGCUGAGGUUCAGGUUCUACGUUCAGCCUCAUCAUGUCGAAGUUCAUCGUCAUUUCCUCUGAAACGAGAUGAUUUGAUGCUUUUCUUUUUUCUUUCCCUCUUUAACUGAGACUAACGUGGAGUC